AUGCUGAUUGGGCCAAAGGUGAGCUCCUGGAAAGACAGACCAAUCGGGUCCCUUCCUGAGGAUGCUUGUGAUCCGCCUACCUGGCUCCAGAAGUCUCAGAGCCUGGGUGUCAAGAUGCCCAUGGUGGGAGAUAGAGAAAGCUCUGUGGGUAGAGAGGUGGGGAGGGAGAUAGAGGUCUUGGCUCUGGUUACCGUCCAACCCUUUUCAGAGCCCCUCCUUCCAUGCAGGCCACCCAGGGACCUUCAAGAAAAUCCCUUUAUGUGUUGCCAGCGUGAGUUAGAUUCCUGUCCCCGGCAGUUAUGCCCCACGUGGAGAACAUGGACUCGGUCAACAAGCCUGGCUGUCGGUGACUCAGGACAUGCGGCCUCCGGUCCGGCAGCAGGGCAGAGUUGUCCUCGCCAGGGCACCCCGCAGUUCUGCUCAGGACUCGGGACUGCAGCGGAGAGCCACGUGCUUAUCGAUGGAUGUUUCUGGCCUGGGAGAGCUGGCGUUGUGGGGGACACGGAGCACCCACAGCUCUCCUCACCCCCAGCCCCUCGUCCACUCUGCUGUCCGGUACGGGCAUCCCAGGCAGACACCAAAGAGGAAACCCGAAGGCUAAGUCCGAAGGCACAGCCGGUGCCCAAGCUGGGGGAUACAGCAAGUCCCAGGAGUGGACAGAUCCUGGCUCGAGCCCCAGGGUCACCGUCCCCAGCUGUGUGAGCCUUGGUCUCUGUGCUUCAGUGGCCUUGGAGACCCCAAGCUUGGAUGGAUGUUAUCUAUAGCUAUUGCUUAACAAAGACAAAGCCUGCGUGGAACAAGCCUGUAAUACCAGCAUUUGGGAGGCUGAGGCGGGAGGAUCGCCACAAGUGUGAGGCCAGCCUGAACUACACGGUGAGACCCUGGCUCAAAAAAGCAAAACCAGACGCACAAAAAAUACAAAACAAAAAAAACAAGGAAAAAGGACACCAAGUAAUCAGGUCUCUUUGCUUUUCAAGGGGCUGGCAGUCCCUACCCCACCCGGCAGUCUGAUCAGUAAGGGGAGCUGGCGCCACGCCCCAGGGGCCAAAGGCCUGGAGCUAGGACGAGGGGACCGAGACCACUGGUGCGGGCAGCAGGCCCUGGGGCCACCUGAACUCCUCCCAGGCUCAGCGAGCUCCUGCAGGCCUCCGAGGAGCCACGGUUCCGCCUUUUACCUCCGACCUCGCCCAGG
rnacentral:lncRNA from 1 species